rnacentral:rRNA from 1 species
UACAGAGGUCUCAAGCGUUUGUCCGGAAUCAUUGGGCGUAAAGCGCGCGUAGGCGGCCCGGUAAGUCCGUUGUGAAAGUCAAAGGCUCAACCUUUGAACGCCGAUGGAUACUGCCGGGCUAGAGUCCGGAAGAGGCGAGUGGAAUUCCUGGUGUAGCGGUGGAAUGCGCAGAUAUCAGGAGGAACACCAAUAGCGAAGGCAGCUCGCUGGGACGGUACUGACGCUGAGGCGCGAAAGCGUGGGGAGCGAACAGG